UACAGAGGGUGCGAGCGUUAAUCGGAAUUACUGGGCGUAAAGCGCGCGUAGGCGGCUUUGCAAGUCGGGUGUGAAAUCCCCAGGCUUAACCUGGGAACUGCACUCGAGACUGCAUUGCUAGAGUAUGGGAGAGGGAAGUGGAAUUUCCGGUGUAGCGGUGAAAUGCGUAGAUAUCGGAAGGAACAUCAGUGGCGAAAGCGACUUCCUGGACCAAUACUGACGCUCAUGUGCGAAAGCGUGGGGAGCAAACAGG
rnacentral:rRNA from 1 species